rnacentral:rRNA from 1 species
GAUGAACGCUGGCGGCGUGCCUAAUACAUGCAAGUCGAGCGAACGGACGAGAAGCUUGCUUCUCUGAUGUUAGCGGCGGACGGGUGAGUAACACGUGGAUAACCUACCUAUAAGACUGGGAUAACUUCGGGAAACCGGAGCUAAUACCGGAUAAUAUUUUGAACCGCAUGGUUCAAAAGUGAAAGACGGUCUUGCUGUCACUUAUAGGUGGAUCCGCGCUGCAUUAGCUAGUUGGUAAGGUAACGGCUUACCAAGGCAGCGAUGCAUAGCCGACCUGAGAGGGUGAUCGGCCACACUGGAACUGAGACACGGUCCAGACUCCUACGGGAGGCAGCAGUAGGGAAUCUUCCGCAAUGGGCGAAAGCCUGACGGAGCAACGCCGAGUGAGUGAUGAAGGUCUUCGGAUCGUAAAACUCUGUUAUUAGGGAAGAACAUAUGUGUAAGUAACUGUGCACAUCUUGACGGUACCUAAUCAGAAAGCCACGGCUAACUACGUG